rnacentral:antisense_RNA from 1 species
GACUUUCUACGUAAUUUCUCGGCUUUUUCUUGCUGUUUACCAGGUUUAAGUGAAGCAUCAAUACGAUUGGGAGCAGGACUGUGGCCUCUAGGUAAUCUUUUCCUCUUUAAUAAUUCUCUGUUUGCAUUUUCAUCAUUAACCAACAUUUCAAUAUCUUCAUUACCCGUAAUACUUCUUGAUCUUUUACUUCUUAAUAAAGAAAUUUGAUCAGAAACAUCAUUUACUGCCCUUCUUGUCAAAGACCUUCCUCUUUCUCUCUUAUUCUCCUCUUUUCUUGCAAGACUUCUACCUCUUUCAUAAAGCUUAGAUACAUCAUAACCUAACCCAUCAAGUUGAUUUGUUAGUUUUGUUAAUUCACCAGCAGAUGCCUGUCUAGCUCUUCCUCUAGGUAAUAUAGGCGCAUUUCUUGCCUUAUUGUCCAUAUUUUCUCUCCUCUUAAGAUUAAUCUUAUUGUGUAUGUUUUUAAGAGCUGUUUGCGUUUGCUCCCAUAGCUUUUCAUCAAACUCUUGCGAUGGAUCAUUCAUUAGUAAUAUCUCCUCCUCCUUUUCAAGUUCCUUCAAUUUUUCUUCAAUAUCAGGAUCGAUAAAGUCAAUAAUAUUUUUGCCAUCCAUAAUUUCUGGAACCAAAUCAUAUUUCCAAUCAUCAUCCUUAAGAAUAUACUUCCUAUUCCAAUCCAUUUGAUACACACCAGCACCACCCAUUUCCUCUUCAAGCUCCUUUUCUAGUGGUCCGGAU